CUUCGGAUGCUGACGAGUGGCGAACGGGUGAGUAAUACAUCGGAACGUGCCUAGUAGUGGGGGAUAACUACUCGAAAGAGUAGCUAAUACCGCAUGAGAUCUACGGAUGAAAGCAGGGGACCUUCGGGCCUUGUGCUACUAGAGCGGCUGAUGGCAGAUUAGGUAGUUGGUGGGGUAAAGGCUUACCAAGCCUGCGAUCUGUAGCUGGUCUGAGAGGACGACCAGCCACACUGGGACUGAGACACGGCCCAGACUCC
rnacentral:rRNA from 1 species